GAUGGAUCACCAGUGAGUGGCGGACGGGUGAGUAACACGUAGGUAACCUGCCCCGGAGCGGGGGAUAACAUUUGGAAACAGAUGCUAAUACCGCAUAACAACAAAAGCCACAUGGCUUUUGUUUGAAAGAUGGCUUUGGCUAUCACUCUGGGAUGGACCUGCGGUGCAUUAGCUAGUUGGUAAGGUAACGGCUUACCAAGGCGAUGAUGCAUAGCCGAGUUGAGAGACUGAUCGGCCACAAUGGAACUGAGACACGGUCCAUACUCCUACGGGAGGCAGCAGUAGGGAAUCUUCCACAAUGGGCGCAAGCCUGAUGGAGCAACACCGCGUGAGUGAAGAAGGGUUUCGGCUCGUAAAGCUCUGUUGUUGGAGAAGAACGUGCGUGAGAGUAACUGUUCACGCAGUGACGGUAUCCAACCAGAAAGUCACGGCUAACUACGUGCCAGCAGCCGCGGUAAUACGUAGGUGGCAAGCGUUAUCCGGAUUUAUUGGGCGUAAAGCGAGCGCAGGCGGUUGCUUAGGUCUGAUGUGAAAGCCUUCGGCUUAACCGAAGAAGUGCAUCGGAAACCGGGCGACUUGAGUGCAGAAGAGGACAGUGGAACUCCAUGUGUAGCGGUGGAAUGCGUAGAUAUAUGGGAAGAACACCAGUGGCGAAGGCGGCUGUCUGGUCUGCAACUGAC
rnacentral:rRNA from 1 species